rnacentral:rRNA from 1 species
UACGUAGGGCGCAAGCGUUAAUCGGAAUUACUGGGCGUAAAGCGUGCGCAGGCGGUUAUGCAAGACAGAUGUGAAAUCCCCGGGCUCAACCUGGGAACUGCAUUUGUGACUGCAUGGCUGGAGUGCGGCAGAGGGGGAUGGAAUUCCACGUGUAGCAGUGAAAUGCGUAGAGAUGUGGAGGAACACCGAUGGCGAAGGCAGCCCCCUGGGCUAACACUGACGCUCAUGCACGAAAGCGUGGGGAGCAAACAGG